rfam:Oryza brachyantha chromosome 8, whole genome shotgun sequence.
CAACUUGAUGCUGAAGAAUUAAUUGCUUUUAUUCUGAAUGGUUUAGAUGAUGAUUAUGACCCUGUUGUAUCCAGUCUUGCAGCAAGAACUGAACCUCUCACCCUGUCCGACACAUAUGCACAAUUGUUGAGUUUUGGAA